CUUAUGUUUCAUCCAUUCAUUCAUUCAUUCAUUCAUUCAUUUCCCUCUUUACUUUCCUGUCCUCUCCUCAACUGCUUUCUUCCUUGAGCAACCUUAGUAAUUUAUCUUACAUUUCAGAGAGAGAGAAAGAGAGAGAGAGAGAAAGAAAGAGAGAGAGAGAGAGAGAGAGAGGAGAAAAGGAGAGAGAAGAGAGAGACUAGUCUCUAUGCCAGCGCUCCGAAAACCCCUCACUACAUUUCUCCCCACCAGAAGAAUCUGCACAAACAUGGCAGCAUUUUUACUUGUUUAAUGAGCUUAAGACAUUUCAUGAUGAAAGAGAAGCAUUUUGGACGCCUGCAUUUUUAUUUACUAAUCCCAGACUGACAAAAAGGAAAAAGAAAAAAACCCUCACAUAACAACCCUUCUCUAAAGAAAAAGGAAAACUCGGCUGUAAGAUUAUUGCCAGGAGAGGAACGCUGCAUGUUUUAUCAAAAUGCAAUGACCAGAAAUGACGAUUCACUUAAAAUACAAACAAACAACAACAAGAAAAAGGCUCUCUUCCCCCCACCCCACCCCCAGACCUUGAACUGCAAUCAGAAAAGACAGAGAAAACAACCAAAAUCGCUAUUCUGUUGCUUUGACACCUUUACUAGGUGAAUUGGUGGCAUUCACAAAGCUUAUAGGGACGUUUAUAUCAAGAAACAUUUCUGUAUAUAUUGUUGAAUUUUAGUUGUAUAUAUACUUUGUAUGUUUUUGUCUUUCAUAUAUGGAGUAAAAGCCACAAAAUGCUGGGA